UACGGAGGGUGCGAGCGUUGUCCGGAAUCACUGGGCGUAAAGGGCGCGUAGGCGGUGCGAGAAGCGUGUGGUGAAAGGCCGGGGUCAACUCCGCUCGGCCGUGCGGACUCGUCGCGCUUGAUGAGUGCUGUAGAGGCGGGCGGAAUUCCGGGUGGUAGGCGGAUUCGGGAAUGUCGUAGGAGGAAUGCGGAGGAACACCGAUGGCGGAAGGGACAGCCCCCCUGGGCUG
rnacentral:rRNA from 1 species